UGUUUUUUAGUUGAAUAACAACAAUGGUUUUUCAUAUCAUAGGUUAUGGUUAGAGUCCAUAUUAAAACA
rnacentral:tRNA from 1 species